rnacentral:rRNA from 1 species
GAGUUUGAUCCUGGCUCAGGACGAACGCUGGCGGUAUGCUUAACACAUGCAAGUCGAACGAGAAGGAAGAGCUUGCUCUUCCUGAAAGUGGCGAACGGGUGAGUAACGCGUGGGUAACCUACCCUUUGGAAAGGAAUAGCCUCGGGAAACUGGGAGUAAUGCCUUAUAAGAUACGUUUGUCGCAUGGCAUUUGUAUUAAACGCUCCGGCGCCAUAGGAUGGACCCGCGUCUCAUUAGCUAGUUGGUGAGAUAACAGCUCACCAAGGCCACGAUGGGUAACCGGUCUGAGAGGGCGAACGGUCACACUGGAACUGAGACACGGUCCAGACUCCUACGGGAGGCAGCAGUGGGGAAUAUUGCGCAAUGGGGGCAACCCUGACGCAGCAAUACCGCGUGAGUGAAGAAGGUUUUCGGAUCGUAAAGCUCUGUUAUUGGGGAAGAAAAAAAGACGGUACCCAAGAAGAAAGUUCCGGCUAACUACGUGCCAGCAGCCGCGGUAAUACGUAGGGAACAAGCGUUGUCCGGAUUUACUGGGCGUAAAGGGCACGCAGGCGGUUUUUUAAGUCAGAUGUGAAAGGCCACAGCUCAACUGUGGACAUGCAUUUGAAACUGAAAGACUUGAGUAUUGGAGAGGCAAGUGGAAUUCCUAGUGUAGCGGUGAAAUGCGUAGAUAUUAGGAGGAACACCGGUGGCGAAGGCGGCUUGCUGGGAGUUUGAUCCUGGCUCAGGACGAACGCUGGCGGUAUGCUUAACACAUGCAAGUCGAACGAGAAGGAAGAGCUUGCUCUUCCUGAAAGUGGCGAACGGGUGAGUAACGCGUGGGUAACCUACCCUUUGGAAAGGAAUAGCCUCGGGAAACUGGGAGUAAUGCCUUAUAAGAUACGUUUGUCGCAUGGCAUUUGUAUUAAACGCUCCGGCGCCAUAGGAUGGACCCGCGUCUCAUUAGCUAGUUGGUGAGAUAACAGCUCACCAAGGCCACGAUGGGUAACCGGUCUGAGAGGGCGAACGGUCACACUGGAACUGAGACACGGUCCAGACUCCUACGGGAGGCAGCAGUGGGGAAUAUUGCGCAAUGGGGGCAACCCUGACGCAGCAAUACCGCGUGAGUGAAGAAGGUUUUCGGAUCGUAAAGCUCUGUUAUUGGGGAAGAAAAAAAGACGGUACCCAAGAAGAAAGUUCCGGCUAACUACGUGCCAGCAGCCGCGGUAAUACGUAGGGAACAAGCGUUGUCCGGAUUUACUGGGCGUAAAGGGCACGCAGGCGGUUUUUUAAGUCAGAUGUGAAAGGCCACAGCUCAACUGUGGACAUGCAUUUGAAACUGAAAGACUUGAGUAUUGGAGAGGCAAGUGGAAUUCCUAGUGUAGCGGUGAAAUGCGUAGAUAUUAGGAGGAACACCGGUGGCGAAGGCGGCUUGCUGG